rnacentral:rRNA from 1 species
GACGAACGCUGGCGGCGUGCUUAACACAUGCAAGUCGAACGGAAAGGCCCUGCUUGCAGGGUACUCGAGUGGCGAACGGGUGAGUAACACGUGGGUGAUCUGCCCUGCACUUCGGGAUAAGCCUGGGAAACUGGGUCUAAUACCGGAUAGGAGCCAUUUUUAGUGUGAUGGUUGGAAAGUUUUUUCGGUGUAGGAUGAGCUCGCGGCCUAUCAGCUUGUUGGUGGGGUAAUGGCCUACCAAGGCGGCGACGGGUAGCCGGCCUGAGAGGGUGGACGGCCACAUUGGGACUGGGAUACGGCCCAGACGCCUACGGGAGGCAGCAGUGGGGAAUAUUGCACAAUGGGCGCAAGCCUGAUGCAGCGACGCCGCGUGGGGGAUGACGGCCUUCGGGUUGUAAACUCCUUUCGCUAGGGACGAAGCUUUUUGUGACGGUACCUAGAUAAGAAGCACCGGCUAACUACGUG